ACAGAAGAUAAAAAAAAAAAUCUCAAUUAUAUCAUCACUUUAAUUUGCAACCAGUGUUUUUUUAAAAUAAUUUCUUCACUUGUUUCAGAAUUUAUUCGAUUCGAUAUAAAAAUUUAUAUUUGAAUAAAUUAAUUAAAAAAAUUUCGUAAAUAUCUGUAAAUAUCGAUUGAAUUCAUCGAUUGAAUUAAAAAUUAAUUUGAAGAGGGUUGAAAAUUUAAAUAAACUAAUCUGGUUAAUUAUUUUAGUAGAACAAUAGCAGUGAGAGAAGGUUAUUUCGAGAAGAAGCUAGGAAAGAGUGUUAAUUUUCAAGAAAUAUUGAUUCAGCAACAUAUUAUAUAUCAUAUUAUAUAUUAUUAUCAGAAUAAAACGGUAUCAAAGGUCAAAUUUCAUGCAGAAUUCACGAGUUCGUGAAGAGGAAGAAGAGAAACGAAACAACAGAAUAGAUAAUACUUUUUCUUUCUUUUUUUUUUUUUUUUAUAUUCCAUAGUAUCGAUAUAGUAUAAAUUUUUUUAUCUUUAUAUAUAUAUAUAUAUGUUAAUAUUCGUAAAUCUUGUAUUAAAAAACGCAGAUAAUACGAAAUUGAUGAUGAUUUAACGAUUAGUAGAAUUCACAGAAUCUACUUUCGAGAAAAAAAUUCUUCCGAACUACGCGUCAUAUGGAUUCUAAGAGAACUUUCUGUGCAUGCGAUAUAAACUAUACAUAUAUAUAUAUAGAUAUAUACUUUGCCAUAGAGCGCUUUGGUCCCUUGUUUUGAUGAAAAAGAACGCGAGAAAUCGUCGAUAAAACUUUUUCGUUAAUUUGAUAAAAAUUUCUUUCCAUAUAUACCAUACACUGUGCCGCUAAUUUAAAAUAAUAAUUACGAAGGAUACAAGAUAUUAUACAGAGAAAAAUAUUUUUAAUUCUUUUUUGUUUAUUUCAACUAGGAGAGAGAGAGAAAAAAAUAUGUCUUUAUAUUUUUUUUUCGUUCGAAGAAAAUCUUUUUUCAAUAACCCGCGGAUAACCUUUAGACUCUCGGUUAUUUUAACAACAGUAUUUGUAAAUCUCAUUGGUACAUUUCUGGCGCGCUUCAAAUACACGUUUAUAUCGACUCCUUCAUGCCAGACGCUUAACGUGUGCUUAACGUUAUGACAAUAAAUAGUUUCUAGUUUCUUUUCUUUCUCAUUUUAUUUUUAAUAUCGGAUCAAUAAUGCAAUAAAGAAACAUUAUUGCAUAACGAAGUUAAAUACGGUGUUAAAAGACGAUUUAAUAUUUUAAAAUAUAGAUUUUUAUAUAUGUAUAUAUAUACGUGUGUGUGUGUCAUAAAGUCAUUCGUUUAAGUCUCUAACGCAAAGAAGCUGGUAGUCGAUAUAGAGAGUAGAACUAAGAAUUAAAACUUACAGAAAAUUUUUAUCAAGGAUUAACAUAUUAUCAAUCUUAAUACGAUUAAGAUAAAAAUUACGGUAAUAUGUAAUUUUAAUUCAAGUAAAUC